CAAGUCGAGCGGACAGAAGGGAGCUUGCUCCCGGAUGUUAGCGGCGGACGGGUGAGUAACACGUGGGUAACCUGCCUGUAAGACUGGGAUAACUCCGGGAAACCGGAGCUAAUACCGGAUAGUUCCUUGAACCGCAUGGUUCAAGGAUGAAAGACGGUUUCGGCUGUCACUUACAGAUGGACCCGCGGCGCAUUAGCUAGUUGGUGGGGUAAUGGCUCACCAAGGCGACGAUGCGUAGCCGACCUGAGAGGGUGAUCGGCCACACUGGGACUGAGACACGGCCCAGACUCCUACGGGAGGCAGCAGUAGGGAAUCUUCCGCAAUGGACGAAAGUCUGACGGAGCAACGCCGCGUGAGUGAUGAAGGUUUUCGGAUCGUAGAGCUCUGUUGUUAGGGAAGAACAAGUGCGAGAGUAACUGCUCGCACCUUGACUGUACCUAACCAGAGAGCCACGGCUAACUACGUGCCAGCAGCCGCGGUAAUACGUAGGUGGCAAGCGUUGUCCGGAAUUAUUGGGCGUAGAGGGCUCGC
rnacentral:rRNA from 1 species